UACGGAGGGUGCAAGCGUUGUCCGGAAUCACUGGGCGUAAAGGGCGCGUAGGCGGCUCAUGAAGGCUGUGGUGAAAGUCCGGGGCUCAACCUCGGAUCGGCCGUGGCGACUCGUGGGCUGGAGCACUGUAGAGGCGGGUGGAAUUCCGGGUGUAGCGGUGGAAUGCGUAGAGAUCCGGAAGAACAUCAGUGGCGAAGGCGGCCCGCUGGGCAGUGGCUGACGCUGAGGCGCGACAGCGUGGGGAGCAAACAAG
rnacentral:rRNA from 1 species